rnacentral:rRNA from 1 species
UACGUAGGGGGCAAGCGUUGUCCGGAAUUAUUGGGCGUAAAGAGCUCGUAGGCGGUUUGUCGCGUCUGCCGUGAAAGUCCGGGGCUCAACUCCGGAUCUGCGGUGGGUACGGGCAGACUAGAGUGAUGUAGGGGAGACUGGAAUUCCUGGUGUAGCGGUGAAAUGCGCAGAUAUCAGGAGGAACACCGAUGGCGAAGGCGGCAUCCUGGACCGAGAUUGACGCUGAGGCGCGAAAGCCAGGGGAGCAAACGGG